rnacentral:lncRNA from 1 species
ACCACUUUGCACGCAUACAAACAUGUUCUUUAUGCACACGGUCUACGUUAAUAAAUAUCACCUGCACUGAACACCAAAAAAAACUUCCUUUUAAACAACUCUGAGUUUUCCCUAUAAAACUAAUUAAUUGAACUGAGAAAGAGCUUAAUUUAUAUCUUUACAUCUAUAGCACACCUACGCAAUAAGCCACCAAAAGACUUUCGGAAAUAGAUGUUGAAACUGAUACCUUCUUCACGUGAAACGCCGCGGAGACACUCCCCCGAAACCCUCUUGGCUGUUCCAUCGGUAACACUUUCUUGUGGUGAGUGGAUAACGUCACUCUAGACCAGCCGUUGCUGAUGUUCAACCGGGGGAGAAAUACGCUGCUACAGGCUUGGGAUUUCUGUUUAUUCUCUCACUUGUUAAAGACAAUUCUCUAAUUUUUAGUUGUUGGAUAUAGAGCCAACUGACUACUCUUUCAUCUCAUCUAGAGAUACUGGUUGCCUGUGGUGGCCUGGUAAGCAGACUCUAAAACUAAAGCCCUGAUUUCUGAUGUUGCCAGUUUUCAUGGUAUAAAUGCUCCCACCAUGGCUGAUUUCAAGUCACCAACAUGAGAUCCCUGAACAGGAAGUUGGGAAGAAAGUCACGUAAUCUGAUGCAAUAAGAACCCGUUCCAGCACCCCACACCUGGCUGCUGACUAUGUUUUAGGCAUUAUUUUCUGAUUAUGAAGGUGGACUCAUUACAUCUGUUGAUCAUCUGGAUUCAGAGCCUUUAAUUUGACCUUCACAUAAGAAACGUGAAGACUCCCGAAUCCUAACAUUCUUAUGUGCAGUCGCUCCAGUCUGUAAAACCUGGUGAAGCAUUAUUAGAAGACAAAAAAUCGGUCAAGCUAUGCUACAAAGCCAAAUUGAGUCCUUUAAUGAAUUCAACUUUUAACAAUAUAAUUUAGUUUAAAUAAUAGUAUAUUUAUAGUCACAAUCAAUUUAAAAAACAUUUUCUCGUUUUUCUCCUUUAAAAUAUUUUGUUUCAUUCCUGUGAUAAAAAGAAUUGAUUUUUGUUCUUCUACUACGUAAAUUUGUGGAGAAGUGUGGUGUUUUUCUGUUUUGCUUUUACAGCCCUCAGCAAAUUUUGGCAUAAGAGCAGUCAGUGGUGUUUCACAGUCUCUGUGGCAAAUAGUUCACUUUUCCACAGGUCACACGAAAGUUUAUUCAAGGAAGAUUCAGCUUAACUUGAUUCAUUCAUUUAUUCAGCAAAUGUUUCCUAAGAGCUU